GAUGAACGCUGGCGGCGUGCCUAAUACAUGCAAGUCGAGCGAACAGACGAGGAGCUUGCUCCUCUGACGUUAGCGGCGGACGGGUGAGUAACACGUGGAUAACCUACCUAUAAGACUGGGAUAACUUCGGGAAACCGGAGCUAAUACCGGAUAAUAUAUCGAACCGCAUGGUUCAAUAGUGAAAGACGGUUUUGCUGUCACUUAUAGAUGGAUCCGCGCCGCAUUAGCUAGUUGGUAAGGUAACGGCUUACCAAGGCAACGAUGCGUAGCCGACCUGAGAGGGUGAUCGGCCACACUGGAACUGAGACACGGUCCAGACUCCGACGGGAGGCAGCAGUAGGGAAUCUUCCGCAAUGGGCGAAAGCUUGACGGAGCAACGCCGCGGGAGUGAUGAAGGUCUUCGGAUCGUAAAACUCUGUUAUUAGGGAAGAACAAAUGUGUAAGUAACUAUGCACGUCUUGACGGUACCUAAUCAGAAAGCCACGGCUAACUACGUG
rnacentral:rRNA from 1 species